rnacentral:rRNA from 1 species
CCUACGGGAGGCAGCAGUGAGGAAUAUUGGUCAAUGGGCGCGAGCCUGAACCAGCCAAGUAGCGUGAAGGAUGACGGCCCUACGGGUUGUAAACUUCUUUUAUAAGGGAAUAAAGAGAGUCACGUGUGCCUCUUUGUAUGUACCUGAUGAAUAAGGAUCGGCUAACUCCGUGCCAGCAGCCGCGGUAAUACGGAGGAUCCGAGCGUUAUCCGGAUUUAUUGGGUUUAAAGGGAGCGGAGGUGGGAGGUCAAGUCAGCUGUGAAAGUUCGGGGCUCAACCCUGUAAUUGCAGUGGAUACUGGCGGCCGUGAGUGCGCGAGAGGUAGGCGGAAUUCGUGGUGUAGCGGUGAAAUGCUUAGAUAUCACGAAGAACUCCGAUUGCGAAGGCAGCUUACUGAAGCGCAACUGACGCUGAUGCACGAAAGCGUGGGUAUCGAACAGGAUUAGAUACCCCUGUAGUC